rnacentral:lncRNA from 1 species
AGUUCAUCCUCUCCUGUUUGAUUCCGGUAAAAUUCUGGGGAGCAACCAAAAGUUUCGUCAAUAACGAUGAUGAGGACCUGACCCCGGAGCAGAAGGCCGAGCGUGAGAAGGAGCGGAGGAUGGCCAAUAACGCCCGUGAGCGCCUGAGGGUCCGUGAUAUCAACGAGGCUUUCAAGGAGCUGGGCCGCAUGGUACAGCUCCACCUGAAGAGCGACAAGCCCCAGACCAAGCUCCUGAUUCUCCACCAGGCAGUGGCUGUCAUCCUCAGCCUGGAGCAGCAAGUGCGAGGUCCAAGUUGCCACCUUGCUUCAUUAAAACAAGAGACCACUUCCUUAACAGCUGUAUUAUCCUAAACCCACAUAAACACUGCUCCUUAACCCCGUUUUUUUUGUAAUAUAAGACAAGUCUG